rnacentral:rRNA from 1 species
UAGGGAAUCUUCCGCAAUGGGCGAAAGCCUGACGGAGCAACGCCGCGUGAGUGAUGAAGGUCUUCGGAUCGUAAAACUCUGUUAUUAGGGAAGAACAAAUGUGUAAGUAACUAUGCACGUCUUGACGGUACCUAAUCAGAAAGCCACGGCUAACUACGUGCCAGCAGCCGCGGUAAUACGUAGGUGGCAAGCGUUAUCCGGAAUUAUUGGGCGUAAAGCGCGCGUAGGCGGUUUUUUAAGUCUGAUGUGAAAGCCCAAGGCUCAACCGUGGAGGGUCAUUGGAAACUGGAAAACUUGAGUGCAGAAGAGGAAAGGGGAAUUCCAUGUGUAGCGGUGAAAUGCGCAGAGAUAUGGUGGAACGCCAGUGGCGAAGGCGACUUUCUGGUCUGUAACUGACGCUGAUGUGCGAAAGCGUGGGGAUCAAACAGG